UUGAUCUGAUCAGUUCUGUUCAUCAUAGUCGGUCACGUAUUGUGGCUGAUUGGGUGAAUAAGGACAGGUCCUCGGUCUCUAACGGAAGCGAAAGGGUCCGCCCAAUUAGCAUCCGCCAUGGGAUAGGUCAAUGAUUAUGGCUCGUUCCCUAUCAGUCCGCAAGGUCUGAUAGGGCCAAUUGGCACAACCGUAAACAAAUCAGAGUGCUCCAAGCAGGCAAUGUACGGGGUAACCCAUUUGCUUGAAUGAUUUAGCAUGGAAUUGUCACGAAGCCGAUCGGAAACUUCAAGGGAUUUCCUGAGAAGUGGAAGAUCCGGCGUUCGCAAUGAGACACUGAUAGAGGAUCCAAGUACUAUGGCGCGAGAGGUGAAAUUCAGUGACCGCUAUAUGACUAUCUAAUGCGAAAGCAGUUGUGAUCCAGAGCGUGUCUGUCAAUCAGGGACGAAAGUUAAGGGAUCGAAGAUGAUUAGAUACCGUCGUAGUCUUAACCGUAAACGAUACCAACACGAGAUUGGUAGUGAGACUUUUAGAUCCUAUCAGAAUCCAAGGGAAACCGUUAAGUUUUUGGGUUCUGGGGGGAGUAUGGUCGCAAGGCUGAAACUUAAAGGAAUUGACGGAAAGGCACCACCAGGAGUGGAGUAUGCGGCUUAAUUCGAACUCAAC
rnacentral:rRNA from 1 species